rnacentral:lncRNA from 1 species
AUUUUUUAAAGAAUAUUCAUUUUCAGCCAUUCAUUUUUCUGUUCACUAGAUGGAUAAAAAACAAUAUCGAAAAUGCGUGAAAUUUGAUUUCUAGGUAGUUUAAAUGGUUUAGAUCAUAUUUAACGGAGCCGAUCGUUAAUUUGGAAGCUCUAUCAUCGAAAAUAACUCGAUAGUAAACAGGCUCGUUUACUAUCGAGAGUAUUCUAGCUCAUAUAUAUAUAUAUAUAUAUAUAUAUAUAUAUAUAUAUAUAGUCA